GACGAACGCUGGCGGCGUGCUUAACACAUGCAAGUCGAACGGAAAGGCCCUGCUUUUGUGGGGUGCUCGAGUGGCGAACGGGUGAGUAACACGUGAGUAACCUGCCCUUGACUUUGGGAUAACUUCAGGAAACUGGGGCUAAUACCGGAUAGGAGCUCCUGCUGCAUGGUGGGGGUUGGAAAGUUUCGGCGGUUGGGGAUGGACUCGCGGCUUAUCAGCUUGUUGGUGGGGUAGUGGCUUACCAAGGCUUUGACGGGUAGCCGGCCUGAGAGGGUGACCGGGCAAAUUGGGACUACGAGACGGCCCAGACGCCUACGGGAGGCAGCGGUGGGGAAUAUUGCACAAUGGGCGGAAGCCUGAUGCAGCAACGCCGCGGGCGGGAUGACGGCCUGCGGGGUAUAAACCGCUUUCGCCUGGGACGAAGCGUGAGUGAAGGUAAUGGAUAAAGAAGCACCGGCUAACUACGUG
rnacentral:rRNA from 1 species